UUUUAUGUAAAUGAUCGCUGGUGAUGAUACUGUACACACCAGUCGACGGCAUUAUUUUUUCAUAAUUUUAUUUUCUAGUAACUGUUUUAUAGAAUUGAUCAGUAUACAUAUUACUUGAAGAGAUUUACUUAAAUAUGAUUAUCAAAAAAAUGAUUCAAGGCAUAUUUAUUGCAAUCAUACCUCAACUCAUUGGAAUACAGGGUAUUCUCGAAAUCAAUAUAGAGGAUGCAUUGUGUCAAACUUUUAGUAAAGAAUAUUUCACCGAGCCAGAUGUUUAUAUAGAUGUUAACAACCAAGCGCCCGCUUUCAUUUACUGGGAGCAUCGAUGGGUGAAUAUGUCAUACAAACUGGAUUAGAUUUUGAGAUGGGCUUCUGUGGAAUGUUCGAUGAACCUGUCAUACUGGCUCCAAAUCUCAAAUUAUUUGGAUUUGUGGCGACCGAUUGUCCACCAUCUCCUGUAAGAUUUAUUAA